UAAAUCUCUCUCUGUCCCAGCAUCACCGGACCAAAACUGCAGCCCCCUGUGUCCCUGCGGUUACCAGCCACUCCACUGAGGACUUUCUCCUUCAACACCAGGGAAAAUGAGACUUUGGCUCCAUUUACUUUUCCUUGUGGUGGCUCUGGAAGGGGCCCGGUCACAGGUUGUUCUGACCCAGUCCGGCCCGGAAAUGAAGAAGCCCGGAGAAUCCACUCGGCUGAAAUGCGCCGUGAGCGGGUUCACUAUCACCAGCUAUUACAUGGAUUGGAUCAGACAGGAGCCGGGAAAGGGGCUGGAGUGGCUGGUCAGCUACUGGAAACCAGGGAGCGAGUAUUAUUCUCCCACCAUCAAGGGGCGAUUCACAGCCUCCAAGGACAGCUCCAAUUUCUACCUACAAAUGAACAGCUUGAAACCCGAGGACACCGCCCUGUAUUACUGCGCGAGAGACACAGUGAGGGGAAGCCGGUCUGGGCUCAGACAAAAACCUCCCCCUGCAGAGACUGGGGAAGGGAUUUCCUGGGGGUGGCGCUUUCGACCCACAGCAGUGAGAAGAGAGACUCCCCUUGGCGGGAUCCCACACAGCUGCCAGCGGGGAGAGAGGCUCUGCUGACUCCAUCUGCCCCCGGGGAGCGCAGGGAGCAGAUGCUCUGUGGCUAUUUUAGCGAAGAAGGAGCAGGUGCAUCCGCCCUCACUCUGCGAUGCUCCCCACGAUUCACCAGGGCUUUCUGGUCAGCCGGUCUCCAGUGCAAGGCUCCCUCCUUCUCCCAUUGAAGGGAGAAGCUGAGCCCCGAAGGAAGGUCAGUGGCAAUGCUGAGCCCUGAAUGAAGAUGAUUGACUGGAAUGGAGGGGUCACUCAUCUAGAGGUGACCUUCCCCCUCAGCCCAUGGAUCAUUCUCUGUGGGUGAAAUUCACCCCAGUGUGGAGGGCCUAGCACAAGGGCCUCUGCCUGUACUGUGUCCCGCCUAGCCCGAGGAAUAUCGUCACCCCAUGCAGCCGUUUAGAAGUGUACAAUCCCGAUUUCCCUGCCUUCCCCCUUCUGUUUACACUUAGGCCUGGGCCAGUUGGGUGGGAUAUGGGCCUGUUUUCUUGCACACUCAUCCUGUGCCUCGUACACCUUUGAUUAGGGACAGUUUGGGGUCCCCACACCAUUGCUGACAUCAGCCAAUGUGCAGAGUGGGGGAGAAUCCAUGUGAGUCAGGUGAGCAGAGACAGCAAGACUAAGGCAAUUGCUGAGUGUUCCCAGGGCACAAAGAACCAACCUUUUCAACCUGAACCAUCAGGACCCAUCCUAGAGAGACAGCGAAGUGGCGCCAUUGAGCAAACAAUUCCCCGAGCUGAGAAGCAGGGGCUCAAAUGGACACCAGUGUU